AUCCAGUUCACCUUAAUGUUCUGGUACCAUCAGCUCCCAGGACAGAGCUUGGUGCUGAUGGCAACCACAAACCAGGGUCUGGAGGCCACUUACAAACAUGGAUUUACCAAGGACAAGUUUCCCAUCAGCCGCCCAACCCUAGUGUUCUCAACUAUGACCGUAAGCAACGUGAGCCUUGAAGAUAGCAGCUUUUACUUCUGUAGUGCCGGAGACACAGUACUCAGCACGGAUCAGAGGUCUGAGCAAGAACCUCAGCCAGCUCCCUCCUGUCUGGCUCCCACCGGAUGAACCCAAGGCCCCAGCCAAGGCAGAGAAAGGCGGCCCCACAACGUGCCAGUCCCCUCUGCUGCGUUCCCAAGGCUGGGAAAGGGAACAGAUGUGAUGGGUUCUAGAGACCUAAGCCCAGAACCUGCUCAAACACAGUGGCUCUGAAGUGGAUUGUCCUCAAAUUGGAACGGUACAGGUGCCUGUGUGAAGUGAGCACUCCGUGCUGAGCCUUGGAGAUCCUCUGGGCAGGUUGGCCAAUAAGAAGUGGACAAAUUAGAGGCUGCCUUCCAAACGGACAACACAUUCUAGAGUUUUUAUAAUCCAAAUGAGUGGACAGAGCCCAACUGACUGAUUGGGCUUAUCACUGAACUUUGCUUGUGGAGUUCAAUCUGGAUCUAAUAUGAUUUAGAAAGAUAAAUAUACAUGCCAUUAAUUAAAUCUGAGUAUCAUGGGACAAGUCAUGACUGCUACAAUAAUAACAGCCCACAUGCCUA